UCUCUUUCUAAUACUUCUUCUCUACUUCUUCUGCAGAUCUAUUCUCAUCAAUGGUGAAUCCAUGUUAUCUUUUAGUAUAGUUUUAUCAGACAGUUUCAGAUCUAUGUAUUAAGUUCCAUUUUCCAUUUUUGAUAUAAUAGAAAAUUGUUCCAAAAAACUUGUUGUUCUUCAUUUGGAUUGGUUAAUUGUGUGAAUUGAGUUGAGAUCAUUACAUUAUAGCUAUUGAUUCUCCUUAUUUAUUUAUUUAUUUAUUUAUUUAUUUAUUUAUUUAUUUAUUUAUUUAUUUAUUUUUGCUUCUUAUGUUGCCCUUUAUUUCUGGAUUGUUCUUUAGAAUUUCUCUAUUUUUGUCCUGAUAAAAAAGAAUUUCUCCAUUUUGGUAUCAAAUGUGGUCAGUGAUGUACUGUCAUAUAUAUAUAUAUAUAUAUAUAUGAUUGUGGUUGGAGAACAAAAUCAUGUUUUUUCUUAUCAAUCUCAAAAGAUAAUCGUACAUGGGGCCUACCUUUUUGUUUCUGGUAAUUGAAUGGGUAUGCCCAUAUGAAAGUGAUGGGUUGUAUUCAUAUGUGGUUUUUGAAAAAUUUCACAACUUUGUCACUCUGACUACAAAGCUACUUUCAUUUGCAGUUCUCAGAUCAUGAGUAUCUUGAACAACACAAAUCGCCAGAAACAGAUUUUGGAGCAUUGAUAGGUCCUGAAAAUCUUUGAAGAAUUGGGCUUCUCAUGUGUCAAUUUAGUUACACUUUAUUUACCAGUUUACUUCAUCUAUUGUCGAAGCUACCUUACAACGCUACAAGAGCAUAAACACAGGGGUAUCUACAGUAGUAGAAAGUCUUAAAUGAUAGCGGGAGCUUAGUGCACCAGACUUCCCUAAAGGAGAGUCAGGCUGCACAAAUGUGGAUGAUUGGAGGCUCGGAUGGGGCAGUAUCUCGGGAAGAAGUGAUAUUCCUUACCCACCAUAGA